CCGUGCGGGAUUGGGCGCCGAAAUGGGAUGCCGUAGGGGAGGCUCAUUCCUAGAGUUGGAAUGUUGACUACCACGGGGCCAUUAGGCACGGCGCAGGCCGGACUACCCACGGGUAGGUCCUACAGGAUUGGAACAUUGGUGACUUAGUAUACCGAGUGGACAUUGACUAGAAUAGUAAACAAUGACAUUUUACUAUUUAGCUUGUGGACAUUAUGUUAGUUAUACUCUUAUACAUUCAUGUUACAGUAGCUUUAUUACUU
rnacentral:lncRNA from 1 species